rnacentral:rRNA from 1 species
UACGUAGGGCGCAAGCGUUUGUCCGGAAUUAUUGGGCGUAAAGAGCUCGUAGGCGGUUUGUCGCGUCUGCUGUGAAAUCCCGAGGCUCAACCUCGGGCUUGCAGUGGGUACGGGCAGACUAGAGUGCGGUAGGGGGAGACUGGAAUUCCUGGUGUAGCGGUGGAAUGCGCAGAUAUCAGGAGGAACACCGAUGGCGAAGGCAGGUCUCUGGGCCGCAACUGACGCUGAGGAGCGGAAAGCAUGGGGAGCGAACAGG